rnacentral:rRNA from 1 species
CCCUUAGAUGUUCUGGGCCGCACGCGUGCUACACUGAUGCAUUCAACGAGUCUAAAACCUGGUCUGAUAGGGCUGGGUAAUCUUUUGAAAGUGCAUCGUGAUUGGGAUAGAUGAUUGCAAUUCUUCAUCUUCAACGAGGAAUGCCUAGUAAACGCAAGUCAUCAGCUUGCAUUGAUUACGUCCCUGCCCUUUGUACACACCGCCCGUCGCUCCUACCGAUUGAAUGAUCCGAUGAAUACCAUGGAUUGAGAGUACGAAUAGGUUCGCUUAUUUCUGCAGCUCGAGAAGUGGAGUAAAUCUUAUCAUUUAGAGGAAGGAGAAGUCGUAACA